rnacentral:rRNA from 1 species
GCGCGAAAACUUCUCAAUGCACGAAAGUGUGAAGAGGGGAUACUCAGUGCUUACGCUUCUGGCGUAGGCUUUUGUCGAGCGUAGACAGCUCGAUGAAUAAGUGGUGGGCAAGACUGGUGCCAGCCGCCGCGGUAACACCAGCGCCACAAGUGGUCAUCACGAUUAUUGGGCCUAAAGCGUCCGUAGCUGGUGCGGUGCAUCCCUUGUGAAAUUGUUCGGCUUAACCGAACAGCGUGCAGGGGACACGGCC